rnacentral:rRNA from 1 species
UACGUAGGGUGCGAGCGUUAAUCGGAAUUACUGGGCGUAAAGCGUGCGCAGGCGGUUUUGUAAGCCAGAUGUGAAAGCCCCGGGCUUAACCUGGGAAUGGCAUUUGGGACUGCAAGGCUUGAGUGCGGCAGAGGAGACUGGAAUUCCUGGUGUAGCAGUGAAAUGCGUAGAUAUCAGGAGGAAUACCGAUGGCGAAAGCGGCUCUCUGGCCCGGAUCUGACGCUGAGGCGCGAAAGCGUGGGGAGCAAACAGG